GUCUGGGCCGUGGAGCGUUU
rnacentral:miRNA from 1 species